rnacentral:rRNA from 1 species
GACGGAAGGUGCAAGCGUUGCUCGGAAUCACUGGGCGUAAAGGGUGCGUAGGCGGCUUGGUGGGUCUGGUGUGAAAGCCCCGGGCUCAGCCCGGGAAGGGCACUAGAAACUGCCGAGCUGGAGUGCCGGAGGGGAGAGUGGAAUUCCUGGUGUAGCGGUGAAAUGCGUAGAUAUCAGGAGGAACACCAGUGGCGAAGGCGGUGCUCUGGGCCGGAACUGACGCUGAGGAGCGAAAGCGUGGGGAGCAAACAGG